GGAGAGGUGGCCGAGUUGGUCGAAGGCACAGGUUUGCUAAACCUGCGUAGGGGCAACUCUACCGUGGGUUCGAAUCCCACCCUCUCCG
rnacentral:tRNA from 1 species